AUACGGAGGGUGCAAGCGUUGUUCGGAAUUACUGGGCGUAAAGCGCGUGCAGGCGGUAAGGUAAGUCAGAUGUGAAAGCCCCGGGCUCAACCCGGGAAGUGCAUUUGAUACUGCCUUUCUUGAGUAUGGGAGAGGAGAGUGGAAUUCCCAGUGUAGAGGUGAAAUUCGUAGAUAUUGGGAGGAACACCCGUGGCGAAGGCGACUCUCUGGACCAAUACUGACGCUGAGACGCGAAAGCGUGGGGAGCGAACAGGAUUAGAAACCCUGGUAGUCC
rnacentral:rRNA from 1 species